rnacentral:rRNA from 1 species
UACGUAGGGUGCGAGCGUUGUCCGGAAUUAUUGGGCGUAAAGAGCUCGUAGGCGGCUUGCUGCGUCGGAUGUGAAAGCCCGGGGCUUAACUCCGGGUCUGCAUUCGAUACGGGCAGGCUAGAGUUCGGUAGGGGAGAUCGGAAUUCCUGGUGUAGCGGUGAAAUGCGCAGAUAUCAGGAGGAACACCUAUGGCGAAGGCAGCUCUCUGGGACGGUACUGACGCUGAGACGCGAAAGCGUGGGGAGCGAACAGG